rnacentral:rRNA from 1 species
UACGUAGGGUGCGAGCGUUGUCCGGAAUUACUGGGCGUAAAGAGCUCGUAGGUGGUUUGUCGCGUCGUCUGUGAAAUUCCGGGGCUUAACUUCGGGCGUGCAGGCGAUACGGGCAGACUUGAGUGCUGUAGGGGAGACUGGAAUUCCUGGUGUAGCGGUGAAAUGCGCAGAUAUCAGGAGGAACACCGGUGGCGAAGGCGGGUCUCUGGGCAGUAACUGACGCUGAGGAACGAAAGCGUGGGGAGCGAACAGGAUUAGAUACCCGGGUAGUCCCU